rnacentral:rRNA from 1 species
UGCUUGGCAUGGGCGAAACCUGACCGCAAUGCCGGGCUAGUGAAGAAGGCCUUCGGGUUGUAAAGCACUUUUGUCCGGAAAGAAAACCUCCGCCCUAAUAUGGUGGGGGGAUGACGGUACCGGAAGAAUAAGCACCGGCUAACUACGUGCCAGCAGCCGCGGUAAUACGUAGGGUGCAAGCGUUAAUCGGAAUUACUGGGCGUAAAGCGUGCGCAGGCGGUCCGCUAAGACAGAUGUGAAAUCCCCGGGCUUAACCUGGGAACUGCAUUUGUGACUGGCGGGCUAGAGUAUGGCAGAGGGGGGUAGAAUUCCACGUGUAGCAGUGAAAUGCGUAGAGAUGUGGAGGAAUACCGAUGGCGAAGGCAGCCCCCUGGGCCAAUACUGACGCUCAUGCACGAAAGCGUGGGGAGCAAACAGGAUUAGAUACCCUGGUUGUCCACGCCCCUAAACGAUGUCAACUAAUUGUUGGGGAUUCAUUUACUUAUUAACGAAACUUAACGCGUGAAGUUUGACCGCGCGGGGAGUCCCUGGCCCAAAAAUUUAAAAAAUUUGAUGGCUUCCAC